rnacentral:lncRNA from 1 species
ACACUACAGGUACGAUACAGGUACGCUACAGGUACGCUACAGGUACGAUACAGGUACGCUACAGGUACGAUACAGGUACGCUACAGGUACGCUACAGGUACGAUACAGGUACGUUACAGGUACGCUACAGGUACGAUACAGGUACGUUACAGGUACGUUACAGGUACGCUACAGGUACGCUACAGGUACGUUACAGGUACGAUACAGGUACGCGACAGGUACGCUACAGGUACGUUACAGGUACGAUACAGGUACGUUACAGGUACGCUACAGGUACGAUACAGGUACGUUACAGGUACGAUACAGGUACGCGACAGGUACGCUACAGGUACGUUACAGGUACGCUACAGGUACGCUACAGGUACGAUACAGGUACGUUACAGGUACGAUACAGGUACGCUACAGGUACGCUACAGGUACGCUACAGGUACGCUACAGGUACGCUACAGGUACGCUACAGGUACGCUACAG